GGGUAGUUUGACUGGGGCGGUCUCCUCCUAAAGAGUAACGGAGGAGCACGAAGGUCAGCUAAUCCUGGUCGGACAUCAGGAGGUUAGUGCAAUGGCAUAAGCUGGCUUGACUGCGAGCGUGACGGCGCGAGCAGGUGCGAAAGCAGGUCAUAGUGAUCCGGUGGUUCUGAAUGGAAGGGCCAUCGCUCAACGGAUAAAAGGUACUCCGGGGAUAACAGGCUGAUACCGCCCAAGAGUUCAUAUCGACGGCGGUGUUUGGCACCUCGAUGUCGGCUCAUCACAUCCUGGGGCUGAAGUAGGUCCCAAGGGUAUGGCUGUUCGCCAUUUAAAGUGGUACGCGAGCUGGGUUUAGAACGUCGUGAGACAGUUCGGUCCCUAUCUGCCGUGGGCGCUGGAGAAUUGAGGGGGGCUGCUCCUAGUACGAGAGGACCGGAGUGGACGCAUCACUGGUGUUCGGGUUGUCAUGCCAAUGGCAUUGCCCGGUAGCUAAAUGCGGAAGAGAUAAGUGCUGAAAGCAUCUAAGCACGAAACUUGCCCCGAGAUGAGUUCUCCCUGACCCUUUAAGGGUCCUGAAGGAACGUUGAAGACGACGACGUUGAUAGGCCGGGUGUGUAAGCGCAGCGAUGCGUUGAGCUAACCGGUACUAAUGAACCGUGAGGCUUAACCUUACAACGCCGAAG
rnacentral:rRNA from 1 species